AAAUAGGUUUUCAUGAAAACCACACGUAGAUAGAAAAGGUAAGAGU
rfam:Triticum aestivum genome assembly, contig: Triticum_aestivum_CS42_TGACv1_scaffold_152388_2BS